GAUGAACGCUGGCGGCGUGCCUAAUACAUGCAAGUCGAGCGAACAGACGAGGAGCUUGCUCCUCUGACGUUAGCGGCGGACGGGUGAGUAACACGUGGAUAACCUACCUAUAAGACUGGGAUAACUUCGGGAAACCGGAGCUAAUACCGGAUAAUAUAUUGAACCGCAUGGUUCAAUAGUGAAAGACGGUUUUGCUGUCACUUAUAGAUGGAUCCGCGCCGCAUUAGCUAGUUGGUAAGGUAACGGCUUACCAAGGCAACGAUGCGUAGCCAACCUGAGAGGGUGAUCGGCCACACUGGAACUGAGACACGGUCCAGACUCCUACGGGAGGCAGCAGUAGGGAAUCUUCCGCAAUGGGCGAAAGCUUGACGGAGCAACGCCGCGUGAGUGAUGAAGGUCUUCGGAUCAUAAAACUCUGUUAUUAGGGAAGAACAAAUGUGUAAGUAACUAUGCACGUCUUGACGGUACCUAAUCAGAAAGCCACGGCUAACUACGUG
rnacentral:rRNA from 1 species